GACGUUGAUAGGUCAGGUGUGGAAGUGCAGUAAUGCAUUAAGCUAACUGAUACUAAUUGCCCGUACGGCUUGUCCCUAUAACCUUGACGGUUAUGUA
rnacentral:rRNA from 1 species